GAUGAACGCUGGCGGCGUGCCUAAUACAUGCAAGUCGAGCGAACAGACGAGGAGCUUGCUCCUCCGACGUUAGCGGCGGACGGGUGAGUAACACGUGGAUAACCUACCUAUAAGACUGGGAUAACUUCGGGAAACCGGAGCUAAUACCGGAUAAUAUAUUGAACCGCAUGGUUCAAUAGUGAAAGACGGUUUUGCUGUCACUUAUAGAUGGAUCCGCGCCGCAUUAGCUAGUUGGUAAGGUAACGGCUUACCAAGGCAACGAUGCGUAGCCGACCUGAGAGGGUGAUCGGCCACACUGGAACUGAGACACGGUCCAGACUCCUACGGGAGGCAGCAGUAGGGAAUCUUCCGCAAAGGGCGAAAGCUUGACGGAGCAACGCCGCGUGAGUGAUGAAGGUCUUCGGAUCGUAAAACUCUGUUAUUAGGGAAGAACAAAUGUGUAAGUAACUAUGCACGUCUUGACGGUACCUAAUCAGAAAGCCACGGCUAACUACGUG
rnacentral:rRNA from 1 species